GCGACCAUGCCGCAUUGGAAACAUCGGUUCUCGUCCGACCACCGAAGUUAGGCAAUGUCGGAUCCGGUUAGUACUUACACGAGUGACCAGCUGAGAAUACCGUGUGUUGCGAUUGUU
rnacentral:rRNA from 1 species